CAUGUCACAGAAUGUAAAAUCGUUCAAGAGUGAAAACGAAAACGGUUUUAGCUUCUCUAAAAAACGGAAAACGCAAAAAUUUUGCGUUUUGAUAUCACUUUCAAAAAGCGGGGUGAAAUUGAAAUGUUUAGUGAUUUUAACGUAAAAAAUAAACAGAAGACACAUACAUUUAACAGAAAAUAUUGUAUUAACCAAAUUCUCUUAGAAUGAACAUGUUUUUGGAAUUUAUUUUACAAAAAAUUUUUCUAAUCCAUGAUGAAAAAUAAUAAAAAGGACUUGCGAGGAACUGGUGGUGGUGAUAUCAAUCAAUAUGUUUUCAGUGAACACGAGAACAGUUUAAUCAGAAUUUGCGGAUUGUAUAAAAGUGUCGAUGGAGUUGGUGGUGCAGUAAGCUUUGCGGAUUUUUCAAAACGUUCGAGUGCUGAAGAAGCAAAAGCAAAUCGUAACGAUUUGGAUAAG